rnacentral:tRNA from 3 species
GCCGAAGUGGUGGAAUUGGUAGACACGCUAUCUUGAGGGGGUAGUGACCUCAUGGUCGUGCGGGUUCAAGUCCCGCCUUCGGCACCA